rnacentral:snRNA from 1 species
AUGCUCACUUCGGCAGCACACAGAGUAAAAUCGGAGCGAUACAAAGGAGAUUAGCGUGGCCCCUGCGCAAGGAUGACACGCAAAUUCACAAAGCGUUCCCACUUAAA